UAUUCAAUGUGUAAAGCGCAGCAUCGUUCUCUAUAUUAUUAUCUAAGGAGAGACAGAAAAUCUAUUAACCUCAUCCCGUUAGCAGUUAACCGUGAGUUGUGGAACCGGGCCUAAGCAAAUUAAAGUUUGCAUAGAGGUUCAGAAGAAAUCUUCCCUCCCUCGGGUACGACCUUGUCGUGGUGGGAGGGCUCAGUACCCCGAGGUCUUGAAUGCCUGUGGGGGAAGCUAACUGUACCCAUUGCACUUAUUAAGUUUGUUUUUUAUUCCUGCCCUGCUACACUAGUGCAAUAAGUAAGAAUGAGAAAAAAUAUAUUUGUCUUAUUCUAACUUAUUGCACCAGUGCAGUAGUGCAGGAAUAAAAAACAAACCUAUUACGUCGUCGAUCGUAAAAUUGUAGUUCGUCGCGCCGUGUUAACGCGGUUCGGGAGUGCCGACCGAUUGAAUGGAAAACGAACCGUAGCCGGCUCGUCGUGUCGCGCGUUUGCUUCGGGAGUGUCGUUCAAGUAAAUGGACUAAAAGGGCUGUCUAGUCUAAUUAGUUCUACGCGCGAUCGUAGUAUAUUCGGUUAUUCGCGAGUGUCCUGUGCAACGAGAGGAGAAGGAGGCCUGGAAAAGGCAUUGGGCCCCGGCAGAGCAACCUUGGGGUGAGUAUGAUUAUUAUUUGCAUAGAAUUAUUAGUUUUCUUUCUAUUCGGGUUUUCCUUGAUAAAUUAUAAAGAAGAUAACGUCACGUAAAGUUUUACCCAAUUUUAAUUAUAUAACCUUCUUUUCUUUCGAAAAAUAUUGAUUAUACGAUGAUUACAUAAAUAAUUGAAAAAAUAAAAUGUUUAAUCCGUAACAAUUACUUCUCAUCUAAUAUUAAUAGUCGCGAGCUCUGUUUUAAUUUGAAUUUAAUUUUGAAUUACUUAAUAAACACAAGUACAGAGUUGCAAACCGUUUUUUUUUUCAAUAUUAAAUGUUCUUUCUGUCGUGCUUUAAUUUGGACUUUGCAUUUGUUUGUUACAGAAUCACCACAGCAAGUGUUCAGUUGUGCAACGAGAGGAGGAGGAGGUCCAGGAAGGGCAUCGGGCAUCAGCGGAGCAACCUUGGGUAUCAUCGCAGCUUCGUGGCCGAAUAACUCCGCUCGUUGCGCAUCGGAUCGGUGAGUGACGAUUUUUUUUAUAAAACAACGAAUCUAUGAAAUUUAUAUUAAAUCUUUUUAUUUAUUAUGUUUUAUAAAUAAUACAGAUAAAUACGACUUUUCAUAGAUUCGUUGUUCUAAAUGUUUUUUGUUUGCAUUUUUUAAAAAUAAUAUACUUGAUCAUAAUGUAUGUACGUGUUACUCGGUAAUAUUUUUUGUUAAAACAUUUUUAUUUAAAACAAGUAUAAAUGUAUAUACUUGUUUAAUUCGCCAUUACUUAAAUGUCUUAAAUUAUCUGGCUGUCAUGCAGCUAGAAUGGAUUUGGCCAGGAUCAACGAAAGGUGAGUCCAAUCUGGCCGGAAAAAAGAAGACAUUUAUCAAAAGGGUGUCAAAAAUUAACGUAGGUAGGUAGGGAUACGGGUAGGUAGGAAUGUGUGAAUAGGUAAACGAAUAAAUGGAAAUACGGUUAGGCAGGAAAAUAAAUCUAGGGUUGUAGGGCUCGCAAAUGUGUUGUUUACCACCUGUUUCAGACUUUUCCCGUUAGGUCAUGUUAUAGGAAAGAGGAGGUUUUAGUGGGUAGGCGGCGGUGAGGCUUUUCGUCCGACGUGCCUUCCGUUGAAUCCCACACUCUCCUGGUCUUUCGGGGAGUCUUUUGAAGAUUUCCUCCUCUAUAAAAAAAAAAAA